AUCGAACGCUGGCGGCAGGCCUAACACAUGCAAGUCGAGCGAGCGGCGGACGGGUGAGUAAUGUCUGGGAAACCUCCUGUUGGAGGGGGAUAACUACUGGAAACGGUAGCUAAUACCGCAUACCAUCAAGGGGGAUGAGGUGGGGUUAGCUCGGUGGGUGGGUAACGGCUCACCUAGGCGACGAGGCCGAGCUGGUCUGAGAGGAUGACCAGCCACACUGGACCUGAGACACGUUCCAGACUCCUACGGGAGGCAGCAGUGGGGAAUAUUGGACAAUGGGCGAAAGCCUGCUCCAGCCAUGCCGCGUGUGUGAAGAAGGUCUUCGGGUUGUAAAGCUCGUUAAGUUGGGAGGCGUUACCAGCAGAAUAAGCACCGGCUAACUUCGUGCCAGCAGCCGCGGUAAUUC
rnacentral:rRNA from 1 species